CUAUGAAACUGCCAUUGAUACUGCAGGUCUUGAGUAAAGUAGAAGUGGCUGGAAUAAGUAGUGUAGCGGUGAAAUGCAUAGAUAUUACUUAGAACACCAAUUGCGAAGGCAGGUCACUAUGUUUUAACUGACGCUGAUGGACGAAAGCGUGGGGAGCGAACAGGAUUAGAUACCCUGGUAGUCCACGCCGUAAACGAUGCUAACUCGUUUUUGGGUUUUCGGAUUCAGAGACUAAGCGAAAGUGAUAAGUUAGCCACCUGGGGAGUACGUUCGCAAGAAUGAAACUCAAAGGAAUUGACGGGGGCCCGCACAAGCGGUGGAUUAUGUGGUUUAAUUCGAUGAUACGCGAGGAACCUUACCAAGGCUUAAAUGGGAAUUGACAGGUUUAGAAAUAGACUUUUCUUCGGACAAUUUUCAAGGUGCUGCAUGGUUGUCGUCAGCUCGUGCCGUGAGGUGUUAGGUUAAGUCCUGCAACGAGCGCAACCCCUGUCACUAGUUGCCAUCAUUCAGUUGGGGACUCUAGUGAGACUGCCUACGCAAGUAGAGAGGAAGGUGGGGAUGACGUCAAAUCAUCACGGCCCUUACGCCUUGGGCCACACACGUAAUACAAUGGCCGGUACAGAGGGCAGCUACCUAGCGAUAGGAUGCGAAUCUCGAAAGCCGGUCUCAGUUCGGAUUGGAGUCUGCAACUCGACUCUAUGAAGCUGGAAUCGCUAGUAAUCGCGCAUCAGCCAUGGCGCGGUGAAUACGUUCCCGGGCCUUGUACACACCGCCCGUCAAGCCAUGGAAGUUUGGGGUACCUGAAGUCGGUGACC
rnacentral:rRNA from 1 species